rnacentral:misc_RNA from 1 species
UUAUUUUGUUUUUGUAAUAAUACAUUUUUUACAUUUAGAGUUUGUAAAGUGCAAGUCACGAGGACAUUGCAGACAGUUCACAGGUGUUAUGGAUGUGUAUUAUCUCCGGGCGCCGCGGGGGACGCCCAGAACGCCAUGCGACAUUGCUGCCACACGACAAGAUGAAUUCACUAAUGAUCCUUCCGCAGGUUCACCUACGGAAA